UCCUUGCAGUUCCCCUGAAACCUCUGAUAAGAUGCCUUCAUACCAUUUGGAAUUCUGUUUCCAGCAGCUACUCUGUGACCAACUGUAAAUAAUCUCUACCUAAAAAGACAAGGUGAAAAGUUGCAUCUAUUGGCAUAGGGGAACUUUGAAGCUACCGCCACCUCCGGUUUCUACAGCGUCAUCAAUUGCUGCUUCACAAACAUCUUAUCAGAACCAGUGGCUCGCAAGCAACAUGUUGCUCACCAACUCCUUGGUUGCUCCCGGUGCCCUCAAUGCAGCCGCUACUGUUUUUUCACAAGUUGGACAUUUCUGUAAGAAUGGACUAUACCUGAAUAUUGGAAAAUUCGAGAUAUUUUUUCCUGCUUAUAACAUAUGAUUCACGCACAGAGCAUUGAGACUGGAGCUGUUCCAGAGACCAUUCUCUUGGGACCCCUACAAAUCUACCAUCACCUCUGAAUCAUCAUAGAGUGUAACCUAGAACUAAGAGCUCUGUAAUGUUAGUAUCUCAGAUCCCAGAAAACAGCAAAUUCUUUAUAGGCAUCUCAUACAGAACAUCUGUCUUUCCAUUCAGCACAUUCAAUCUGAAAAGUAUUUUAUAAAAUGAUUAAAUCUAAUAAAAAAAUAAAAAAAUAAAUGA